UCUCCGUAGGUGAACCUGCGGAGGGAUCAUUACAGAGUUCAUGCCCUACCGGGUAGAUCUCCCACCCUAUGUUAUUAUUAUUUUGUUGCUUUGGCGGGCCGUUAGGCUCCGGCCCGACUACCGGCCCCGGCUGGUAAGCGCCCGCCAGAGGACCCAAAACCCUGAAUAUUAGUGUCGUCUGAGUACUAUAUAAUAGUUAAAACUUUCAACAACGGAUCUCUUGGUUCUG
rnacentral:misc_RNA from 1 species